rnacentral:rRNA from 1 species
AGGAUCAUUAUUGAAUAAACCUGAUGUGGCUGUUAGCUGGCUUUUUCAAAGCAUGUGCUCGUCCGUCAUCUUUAUCUCUCCACCUGUGCACAUUUUGUAGUCUUUGGAUACCUCUCGAGGCAACUCGGAUUUUUAGGAUCGCCAGUCGGCUUUCCUUUCAUUUCCAAGACUAUGUUUUUAUAUACACCAAAGUAUGUUUAAAGAAUGUUAUCAAUAGGACAUUGUUUCCUAUAAAAUUAUACAACUUUCAGCAACGGAUCUCUUGGCUCUCGCAUCGAUGAAGAACGCAGCGAAAUGCGAUAAGUAAUGUGAAUUGCAGAAUUCAGUGAAUCAUCGAAUCUUUGAACGCACCUUGCGCUCCUUGGUAUUCCGAGGAGCAUGCCUGUUUGAGUGUCAUUAAAUUCUCAACCUUCCAGCUUUUAUUAGCUUGGUUAGGCUUGGAUGUGGGGGUUGCAGGCUGAGGUCAGCUCUCCUUAAAUACAUUAGCGGAACUUUUGUGGACCAUCUAUUGGUGUGAUAAUUAUCUACGCCGUGGAUGGUAAUGCAGCUUUUUGAAGUUCAGCUUCUAAUCGUCGUUGGACAAAUUUGACAAUUUGACCUCAAAUCAGGUAGGACUACCCGCUGAACUUAAGCAUAUCAAUAAGCGGAGGAAAAGAAACUAACAAGGANUCCCCUAGUAACUGCGAGUGAAGCGGGAAGAGCUCAAAUUUAAAAUCUGGCAGUCUUUGGCUGU